rnacentral:rRNA from 1 species
UACAGAGGUGGCAAGCGUUGUUCGGAAUUACUGGGCGUAAAGAGCGCGCAGGCGGUCGUUCAAGUCGCGUGUGAAAGCCCCCGGCUCAACUGGGGAGGGUCACGCGAUACUGAUCGACUCGAAGGCAGGAGAGGGUAGUGGAAUUCCCGGUGUAGUGGUGAAAUGCGUAGAGAUCCGGAGGAACCCCAGAGGCGAAGGCGGCGCCCUGGCCCGACACUGACGCUCAGACACGACAGCAUGGGGAGCGAACGGG